rnacentral:rRNA from 1 species
CUGCGAGUGAAGAGGGAAGAGCUCAUCAUUGGAAUCUGGCAGCGAUUGCGCUGUCCGAGUUGUAGAUGAGAAGAGUAGGCCAUCUGGACUGCGUGGUGUCCAAGUACAAUAGGCCGUCAGUGGGACAUCAUAGAGGGUGACAAUCCCGUCCUUGACACCAACGUACGAGUCCAUUACGAUGCCUAUCUCAGAGAGUCGAGCAGUUUGGGAUUUGCUGCUUAAACAUGGGAGGUAGAUUCCUUCUAAAGCUAAAUACAGGCAAGAGACCGAUAGAGAACAAGUACCGCAAGGGAAAGAUGAAAUAGAACUCUGUGAAGGGAGUCAAAAAGACGUGAAAUUGUUGCGAGAGAAGCGAUUCAAGUCAGCGUAGCUAGGCCCAUCAAGCCUCGCUUUGGACUAGCUUUGCCAGCGGUCUUGUCCUUUAGAGAGACUUGACUUUUGACGUGCCCUGCCCGGUCUAACGGGCAGACCUCCCUCUGGGAGGCCAGCGGCAUGGCUGGUGGAAUGGCUUGCAAUCGACCCGUCUUGAAACACGGACCAAGGAGUCUAACAUGUGUGCGAGUAUAAGGGUGGCAAACCCGUAUGCGCAAAGAAAGUGAUAGCCUUUUAUGGCUGAGAAUGGCCUGAUGACCAGACAAGCAAUAUUAUGUUCCUCGUACGGUCAUUGCCCAAGUCCCGUGGUCAGAUCCCAUGGACAUGGAGUUAGAGCAUACAUGCUAGGACCCGAAAGAUGGUGAACUAUGCCUGGACAAAGCGAAGCCAAAGGAAACUCUGGUGGAGGCUUGUAGCGAUUCUGACGUGCAAAUCGAUCGUCUGAUCUGGGUAUAGGGGCGAAAGACUAAUCGAACCAUCUCAUA